rnacentral:ncRNA from 1 species
GUUGGUAAUGGAUCCUCGCAGCUCCAUCGUGCAUUGGGUGUGCCAGCCUGCGAGGGCAAGAAUCCUCCACUGUGAACCUCUUUUGGUGAGAAAUCAGCUACAGUGUACCUCUGUUGGCUAGUUUUUAGGCCCGUGCUGCAGCACUUCGCCACCACCACAUUUGAUGCCUCGAGAAGAGUUAUCUUUUCUAUUUAACAGCCCGCCUACCUUGGAAACGACUCAGUCGGAGGUAGGGUCCAGCGGCUGGAAGAGCACCGCACGUCGCAUGGUGUCUAGUGCGCCCCCAGCAGCCCAUGAAAAUCUAGAGGACCGAGUGCUAUCCAUGCCCAGUCGUACUCAUAACUAUAUCAGGUUUCUAGGGUUAAUAGCCUUU